UAGGGAAUCUUCGGCAAUGGGGGCAACCCUGACCGAGCAACGCCGCGUGAGUGAAGAAGGUUUUCGGAUCGUAAAGCUCUGUUGUAAGAGAAGAACGUGUGUGAGAGUGGAAAGUUCACACAGUGACGGUAACUUACCAGAAAGGGACGGCUAACUACGUGCCAGCAGCCGCGGUAAUACGUAGGUCCCGAGCGUUGUCCGGAUUUAUUGGGCGUAAAGCGAGCGCAGGCGGUUUAAUAAGUCUGAAGUUAAAGGCAGUGGCUUAACCAUUGUUCGCUUGGGAAACUGUUAAACUUGAGUGCAGAAGGGGAGAGUGGAAUUCCAUGUGUAGCGGUGAGAUGCGUAGAUAUAUGGAGGAACACCGGUGGCGAAAGCGGCUCUCUGGUCUGUAACUGACGCUGAGGCUCGAAAGCGUGGGGAGCAAACAGG
rnacentral:rRNA from 1 species